rnacentral:piRNA from 1 species
UACAAAUUGUGGAUGGAACAAUUUCUGUAAAU